AGAGUUUGAUCCUGGCUCAGAACGAACGCUGGCGGCGUGCUUAAGACAUGCAAGUCGAACGGUAAGGCUUGUCACUCUUCGGAGUGACUCGCACACGAGUGGCGCACGGGUGAGUAACGCGUGGGUAAUCUGCCUUCGGGUUUGGGACAACUCCGGGAAACUGGAGCUAAUACCGAAUAAGACCACGAGGUCUCCGGACCUUGCGGAAAAAGGUGGCCUCUCCUUGGAAGCUAUCGCCUGUUGAUGAGCCCGCGUCCCAUUAGCUUGUUGGUGAGGUAAAAGCUCACCAAGGCAUCGAUGGGUAGCUGGUCUGAGAGGAUGAUCAGCCACACUGGAACUGAGACACGGUCCAGACUCCUACGGGAGGCAGCAGUCGGGAAUCUUGCACAAUGGGCGAAAGCCUGAUGCAGCAACGCCGCGUGAGGGAUGAAGGCCCUCGGGUCGUAAACCUCUGUCGGAAGGGAAGAAAGUAUUCCGGGCCAAUACCCCGGAGUAUCGACGGUACCUUCAAAGGAAGCGCCGGCUAACUCCGUGCCAGCAGCCGCGGUAAUACGGAGGGCGCGAGCGUUAUUCGGAAUCAUUGGGCGUAAAGCGCGUGUAGGCGGCUGGGCAAGUCGGAUGUGAAAGCCCGGGGCUCAACCCCGGAAUUGCAUACGAAACUGCCCAGCUAGAGUCUCGGAGAGGAGGGCGGAAUUCCCG
rnacentral:rRNA from 1 species